CCGCCCAGCGCCGCUGGGGGGCUGGGGCGCCGCGGGCUCAGCGGGGGAGCCGCGCCGCGGGAGUGUCAGAUGGGCGCCCUGGAGACAGUGACAGCCAUCGCUGAAGCCUAUGUGUGACGCCCCGCCCCCUGCCCGGCCGGAUUAGGGGUUUGACCACGGGGUGAAAGGAUUUCUGGGCGGGUCUCCCCUGCUCUUCCUGCCUGAGCCCUCAUCCCUGCCCCGGCGGACCUUUCCACGCGGACCGGCAUCUAGGGUGUCCGUGUGAGCGGCAGUGCCCCGAGCCCUGAGGAGGAAGCUAAGAUCCUUCUCUACCUGAGAGGCCUUGCCGCUGGAGACUGGGGCCAGCCCUUUUGCUCAAGGAGAUGGAUCCCAGGGGUCCGGAGAAAUCCCCCAGCUUGGGGUUUACAUCCGGAGACACCUGGGAACUGCCUCUGCCUCAGCCAAAGCUAUUCCAUUAAAACUUUUGCCGUGCUGUCU